rnacentral:lncRNA from 1 species
UGAAGUGAUCUCGGGAACGGGUCCACGUACUGAAGACGGUGGAACGAAAGGAUGGAGAUGUCACGCUGGCUCUGGACCAUCUAUUUUUGGAUUUAUUCUAAGGGAUAGACACUUAACCUCUCUGUUGGUUUAAGUCAGUGGUUCUCAAAGUCUAGCUUCCACUAGAAUUACCUGGAAGGCUGGUUACACACAAAGAUAGCUAGGCUGCAGUGCCUGGAGGUUCUGAUUUGAUAGGUCUGGGAUGGGGCCUCACAGUUUUGUUUCUAACGUGUUCCCAGGUGAUGCUAUGGUGCUGGCCUGGGUACAAGGUGCACCUUGAGAACCACCGGUUCAAGCCAUCAUCAGUGAAGUUCUUUAUCUUCCGAAGCAGAACCCAAUCCUAACUUACCUAGCAAGGUAAGUGCUUCACACUCGAGAAAUGUGAUUAUUAUUUUUGUACAGGGGUGGAAUGAUAGCCAGGGGGCUACCCAUUCCCCUCCUGGCACCCAGGAGAUCAAAGGGCUGGAAGGGAGGGCAAAGCCGUGACGGCCAGCGUGCCCACCCCAGCUGAAGGCAGCCUUGACCUCCCCAAAGGAGACUGGGUGGCCCCAAUGCCUUUCUUCGGGGAGCGGUUGAGGCCCCACUUUGCCCAGAUCCAUUGUUUGGCACCUCCCGUUUGUCUGAGUUGCCCAGAAAUUUUCUGAAAACAGGAACCACGUGUGAAGUCGAGCGCUCUGCAAGUAUUAUCUCAUUGAAUCCUCGUGACCCAUUUCACAGAUGAGGAAACUCAAGCGAACAAAGGGUAAGUCACCUGCGCACAGUCACAACACCCUCGUGAGCGACGGAGUCAGGGUUUGAAC